ensembl:lncRNA
UCUACCUGAUGGAGUCCAACAGCUGCAUCAAUGUUGAAUUUUUGGAUACAGCUGAGGAUUCCUUCUACUUUGGAGUGGUUCAACAAGAUACAGAUUUGAAGGAGGAUGAUUUCACACAGCCAAAAGACCAUCAUUGGUCCAUUGAGAGCACGAAUGGUUUUGGAUACCUCAUUUUAAACCAAGAAGACACAUUCGUGCUCCAGACCUGCUGUGAGAAGAAACUCUGCAUCAGGACCUAUCGGAGCUCUUUUGUAAACGAAAAGUUGCCAGUCAUGAUAUAUACCCAAAAGAAUGACCAGACAAUGGUGGCAUGUUGUAAGGAGCACAAAAUUCAAGCUGUACCAAUGACGCUCCCCACAGACAUCACUGGAACGAAUCACGACGCUUUGUUCUACCAGACGCGACUGCGUGGAAGUAACAGGUUUAAGUUUGUGUUCUCAGUGGAUCCCGACAAAGUUCUUGGAGUUGUCAAUGAAAACAACCUUUAUAAACUGACCCUGCUUCCUAAAGUUGAUGAUGUUGAUACGAGAGUUGAGUUUGUGGUCAAAUAAUUAAAGAAGCUGUCUAACCCUUUAUUGAAUGCAGAUAUCCAAUGUAACAAGUUCUUGAAGUCAUAACUCAGAGUCACUUUGUGAUUUAAAUGGAACAAAUCUGAUCUGAUCUUAAACCAUAUGGAACCUCAACAUGUUCCCUGUUGUAUCAUGUUGAGGUUAAAGUGUGUCCAUCCAUUGUGUUGACCACCUCUGCUACUAGGGUAUGAAAUCUUUAAAGGCAGCUUUGAAAUAAGUUUUAUCUCAUUUGAGAUUUUGUUUGUAUUCAGUUAAUCAUUGAACAUUGUGAGGUUGCACAGAUGCAUGUUUGGUUUCUCUGGCCAGUGCAACCUCAGAUUGAACCCAAAAUUAGAACUAUAAGCUCAUACAACAAUCUAGCUAUUAGCAUUUGUACAUAAGAAUAAAGGCUUUGUACUUCUUUCAUUGUGUUUGUUUUGUCAUGAGUGGUGUACUACAAAGAAAGUUGAAAACAGCCAGGCUCUGUUAGCAUGAGCUAACUCGACUAAUCCCCGCCAGAGAUGACGGGUAAGAUGACAAACACGUCAGAGGAAAUCUGUAAUCCUAUAAAAAUGAAAGGCAACACAAGCACUGUAAAUUAGUCAAGAGUAAUGUGAGAUGAAUUUUUCUGAUGAAACAUUAAUAUCUGGGCAGUGUAAAAAGGUUAAAAUGGAGCCGUGGCACGUACACACUCGGGGUCGACAUGUAUACUCUAUAAGCUCAACAUAACCUGCUAACCUAUUCACUGCUCUGUAGUACACCCCAGCUGAGCCUUGAUGGAAAGAACAGAGUGACACCAAAUGUGGAAGCUGUAAUAAAACAUGUUUACUGCACAGGUGUUGUGACAUCACGCUCACUCCAGCCAAACACAAAGAAGUGCUGGCGUGGAAGCUGCAUGCAAAGACUGUAUGUGUGUACUGUAUAUAAGUGCAUGUUCCAAGAUUAUAAUGUAAUAUCAUAAAGCUUUGAUUUGACUGUCAUAUUAAGUCUUAUUUUACUGAUUUAAGAACAGUCCUGGAAUUUUCACAAAUUGAUCAAAAUAAACAUGAUUUAUUUUAAAGCAUUUUUGUUUCUUUGAAAUGUGCAGAUUGUAUGUGAAGCAGUUUCUGCUGCAAAGUAUAACAUGACCCCAGAGAGACGCAGUCGUGUCCUGUUCCUGCCUCGAAGGUUAAAAUACCUCCGAGGCAGGAACAUGAUGGAAGUUUGGAGCUCAUAAUUUCACACCCAGUCAGCUGGACAUGCACAGGCAGGGUUAGCAUUACUGGUUUGGUUGAAUUUAAGAUUUAGCCGGUCUGACCUUUAUUAAACCUUCAAGCAGAGCAUUAAUAAACCUUUAUAUAAGGGUAUGAGAUCAUAUAAGCUGUCUGUUCCUACAGUAGAGGCCACUGCUCUCUGUAUAGCCGCAGCAUUGCAGGGACAUCCUGGUCACAAUGACACUAAAACAGGAAGUGGGGCAUGGAAAUGGUUUUUCCAAACAGGGGUUAGUGUGUGCUGCUGCUGAUGGGUGUAAGAGAAAAGGCAGCAUGCGCACACUGGAAGUAAACAUGUUUAAGAGAUCAGCCACACAAAGGACACAAAGGACAAAGAAUGAACGAGAGCUUAGACAGCUGUAUUCUAUAAGACUUGAUCAAGUCAUGGCUGUGUUGUUAAAACGUGUUUGUAGCUUAAAUUUAGCCCACAGUUACUCAGGAACAGCCCAAUCAAUGAAAAGAAAGACAAAGCUUGAAUCAAUGAACACAAACACUUUUGAAUCAAUGAAAUAUUGUCAAAAUGAUAUUUACAGAGAACACACUGAUUUCUUUUGUUAAACACGCAGCCAGGACCAGCGUUUCGGUCUUCCUGAGCGUCCCGGCCCACAGUCAUAUUCACUUGCUCCAGAGCAGAGCGACAGCUUUGCAUAUGCCCACGUCGUUGUAGUUGAAGUAACAAAGACCAGUGAAGGUGAUCGUGGACAGGAGGAAGAGAGCUGCGUUGGCCAUCUUGAUCUUUGUGUCCCCGUGAACGUAGUCUGUCAACACCUGCCCGAGACCCCUGCAACAACACAGGCAGAGGAAAAGAUGAGCAGGCCUCCCUUUGCUUCAGCUGGGUGACACUGAAGCGCUUUAAAUGACUGCACAGCACAGCACAGAUGGAAAAUGUGCAACCAGUGUUUCUAAAUUUGACUCUGACAUUAAUGCAACUAAUGCCCCAUAAACAUGUGCUGACAUUUCCACGCGCAACAGAUGUUGUGUUUUUUUUAACAUCUGAAUGAACUCUGUCCACACAUGAUGACAGCCAGGAGCCUCAGCCAUCACGUCUAUGACAAAGACCUCGCUCUGCAGCCUGACACACUAAUAUAGUAAAUUCCUGCUGGGACUAAAAUGCUGCUGCAGUUGCUCAAUUUAUCCAAAACCUUUAUUUUUUUAAAGGGAUUUGAGGUCCAGAUUAUAAAAUAUGAUUUCUGAGCUGCAAAAUCUUCAUCCAGCAACAGUCACAGUAACAUCUCGCCUUACGUUUGAUUCAUUCAGACUCUAAUUAACCAAGCUAACCAAGCAUAAGAGUCUCCAAUUUGCAUAAAAUAACUUACAGUUGUGUUCAAAAUAAUAACAGUGUGUUUUAAAACGUGAGUAAAACUCAAAAUCCGUAUAAUAUUUUUAUUCCUGUUCAUUGGGAGCACUGCACAUUAAUUUUUCAUUAAAACAUGAAGAAAAAGUAUCAGUAUUUGAGUUACUUUACAGAAAAUGAAGGAAAACAUGAUAUUGGGCUUCUCAAAAAAUAGCAGUGUCUGCAUUUUUCAUUACAAACUCAAAUAUGUACUCAAUAAACUGAAAAAACGUUAAGAUUUAGCAGUCCUGUGAAUCACUAAACUAACUUUUAGUUGUCUAAACACUGCUUUUGAGAACUGCUUCCCAUCUGUGCUGCAUGGAGUCCACCAACUUCUGGCAGCUGUAAACAGGUAUGCCAGCA